GAAAAUGAAAUUCCUAAAGCUGCUAACUUUAGAUCUUGCAAAUUUGUAACAUUUUCU
rnacentral:tRNA from 1 species